rnacentral:rRNA from 1 species
UACCAGCACCCCGAGUGGUCGGGACGAUUAUUGGGCCUAAAGCAUCCGUAGCCGGUCCUGCAAGUCUUCCGUUAAAUCCAGCUGCUCAACAGAUGGGCUGCGGGGGAUACUACAGGGCUAGGAGGCGGGAGAGGCAAGCGGUACUUUAUGGGUAGGGGUAAAAUCCGUUGAUCCAUAGAAGACCACCAGUGGCGAAGGCGGCUUGCCAGAAUGCGCUCGACGGUGAGGGAUGAAAGCUGGGGGAGCAAACAGG